GCCUCGGUGGUGUAGUGGUAAGCACGGCAGAUCGGAUAUCUGUAAGUGCGGGUACGAGUCCCGCCUGAGGUU
rfam:Dictyocaulus viviparus strain HannoverDv2000 D_viviparus-1.0_Cont63.27, whole genome shotgun sequence.